rnacentral:rRNA from 1 species
GGGUUGUGAGGUUAAGCGACUAAGCGUACACGGUGGAUGCCCUGGCAGUCAGAGGCGAUGAAGGACGUGCUAAUCUGCGAUAAGCGUCGGUAAGGUGAUAUGAACCGUUAUAACCGGCGAUUUCCGAAUGGGGAAACCCAGUGUGAUUCGUCACACUAUCAUUAACUGAAUCCAUAGGUUAAUGAGGCGAACCGGGGGAACUGAAACAUCUAAGUACCCCGAGGAAAAGAAAUCAACCGAGAUUCCCCCAGUAGCGGCGAGCGAACGGGGAGCAGCCCAGAGCCUGAAUCAGUGUGUGUGUUAGUGGAAGCGUCUGGAAAGGCGUGCGAUACAGGGUGACAGCCCCGUACACAAAAAUGCACAUACUGUGAGCUCGAUGAGUAGGGCGGGACACGUGGUAUCCUGUCUGAAUAUGGGGGGACCAUCCUCCAAGGCUAAAUACUCCUGACUGACCGAUAGUGAACCAGUACCGUGAGGGAAAGGCGAAAAGAACCCCGGCGAGGGGAGUGAAAAAGAACCUGAAACCGUGUACGUACAAGCAGUGGGAGCACGCUUAGGCGUGUGACUGCGUACCUUUUGUAUAAUGGGUCAGCGACUUAUAUUCUGUAGCAAGGUUAACCGAAUAGGGGAGCCGAAGGGAAACCGAGUCUUAACUGGGCGUUAAGUUGCAGGGUAUAGACCCGAAACCCGGUGAUCUAGCCAUGGGCAGGUUGAAGGUUGGGUAACACUAACUGGAGGACCGAACCGACUAAUGUUGAAAAAUUAGCGGAUGACUUGUGGCUGGGGGUGAAAGGCCAAUCAAACCGGGAGAUAGCUGGUUCUCCCCGAAAGCUAUUUAGGUAGCGCCUCGUGAAUUCAUCUCCGGGGGUAGAGCACUGUUUCGGCAAGGGGGUCAUCCCGACUUACCAACCCGAUGCAAACUGCGAAUACCGGAGAAUGUUAUCACGGGAGACACACGGCGGGUGCUAACGUCCGUCGUGAAGAGGGAAACAACCCAGACCGCCAGCUAAGGUCCCAAAGUCAUGGUUAAGUGGGAAACGAUGUGGGAAGGCCCAGACAGCCAGGAUGUUGGCUUAGAAGCAGCCAUCAUUUAAAGAAAGCGUAAUAGCUCACUGGUCGAGUCGGCCUGCGCGGAAGAUGUAACGGGGCUAAACCAUGCACCGAAGCUGCGGCAGCGACGCUUAUGCGUUGUUGGGUAGGGGAGCGUUCUGUAAGCCUGCGAAGGUGUGCUGUGAGGCAUGCUGGAGGUAUCAGAAGUGCGAAUGCUGACAUAAGUAACGAUAAAGCGGGUGAAAAGCCCGCUCGCCGGAAGACCAAGGGUUCCUGUCCAACGUUAAUCGGGGCAGGGUGAGUCGACCCCUAAGGCGAGGCCGAAAGGCGUAGUCGAUGGGAAACAGGUUAAUAUUCCUGUACUUGGUGUUACUGCGAAGGGGGGACGGAGAAGGCUAUGUUGGCCGGGCGACGGUUGUCCCGGUUUAAGCGUGUAGGCUGGUUUUCCAGGCAAAUCCGGAAAAUCAAGGCUGAGGCGUGAUGACGAGGCACUACGGUGCUGAAGCAACAAAUGCCCUGCUUCCAGGAAAAGCCUCUAAGCAUCAGGUAACAUCAAAUCGUACCCCAAACCGACACAGGUGGUCAGGUAGAGAAUACCAAGGCGCUUGAGAGAACUCGGGUGAAGGAACUAGGCAAAAUGGUGCCGUAACUUCGGGAGAAGGCACGCUGAUAUGUAGGUGAAGUCCCUCGCGGAUGGAGCUGAAAUCAGUCGAAGAUACCAGCUGGCUGCAACUGUUUAUUAAAAACACAGCACUGUGCAAACACGAAAGUGGACGUAUACGGUGUGACGCCUGCCCGGUGCCGGAAGGUUAAUUGAUGGGGUUAGCGCAAGCGAAGCUCUUGAUCGAAGCCCCGGUAAACGGCGGCCGUAACUAUAACGGUCCUAAGGUAGCGAAAUUCCUUGUCGGGUAAGUUCCGACCUGCACGAAUGGCGUAAUGAUGGCCAGGCUGUCUCCACCCGAGACUCAGUGAAAUUGAACUCGCUGUGAAGAUGCAGUGUACCCGCGGCAAGACGGAAAGACCCCGUGAACCUUUACUAUAGCUUGACACUGAACAUUGAGCCUUGAUGUGUAGGAUAGGUGGGAGGCUUUGAAGUGUGGACGCCAGUCUGCAUGGAGCCGACCUUGAAAUACCACCCUUUAAUGUUUGAUGUUCUAACGUUGACCCGUAAUCCGGGUUGCGGACAGUGUCUGGUGGGUAGUUUGACUGGGGCGGUCUCCUCCUAAAGAGUAACGGAGGAGCACGAAGGUUGGCUAAUCCUGGUCGGACAUCAGGAGGUUAGUGCAAUGGCAUAAGCCAGCUUGACUGCGAGCGUGACGGCGCGAGCAGGUGCGAAAGCAGGUCAUAGUGAUCCGGUGGUUCUGAAUGGAAGGGCCAUCGCUCAACGGAUAAAAGGUACUCCGGGGAUAACAGGCUGAUACCGCCCAAGAGUUCAUAUCGACGGCGGUGUUUGGCACCUCGAUGUCGGCUCAUCACAUCCUGGGGCUGAAGUAGGUCCCAAGGGUAUGGCUGUUCGCCAUUUAAAGUGGUACGCGAGCUGGGUUUAGAACGUCGUGAGACAGUUCGGUCCCUAUCUGCCGUGGGCGCUGGAGAACUGAGGGGGGCUGCUCCUAGUACGAGAGGACCGGAGUGGACGCAUCACUGGUGUUCGGGUUGUCAUGCCAAUGGCACUGCCCGGUAGCUAAAUGCGGAAGAGAUAAGUGCUGAAAGCAUCUAAGCACGAAACUUGCCCCGAGAUGAGUUCUCCCUGACUCCUUGAGAGUCCUGAAGGAACGUUGAAGACGACGACGUUGAUAGGCCGGGUGUGUAAGCGCAGCGAUGCGUUGAGCUAACCGGUACUAAUGAACCGUGAGGCUUAACCUUACAACGCCGAAGGUGUUU